rnacentral:lncRNA from 1 species
CGUAACCAUUUGCACAAUACGGAAGCUUUAAGAUACAAUUUAUAAGUUGAUACACCCGAAGGUGAGUCCUAAUUUUGUCCAAUCUGUCAGAACACCGUCAAAUUCCUCGUAGUCACCACACCUUUGUGAUUCCUGAACCUGGAGGGGCGCAAAACCAAAAUUGAGUGGGUCAGUAAAACCAUUCUUUUCCAAAUCCAAACAUUUCUCAAAACGUUGUAACCCCUCUCCGUAAAACCCGUAUACUUUCCCAGAAAUGUAAAAUAUAAAUAUACAUAUAUAUUCUCAAGACUUCAAGUCAUUAACUCAACAUUUUCAUCAUAAUUAUGCCAUGCCAAAUCAUCUCAACAUUUCUCAUAUUAAUUAUGCCAUGCCACAUCAUCUCAACAGUAAUAAGGUAUGAAUGCAUCAACAUAAAUCAUAUCAGGUGCAAUAAAGUAAUCAACCGGAGGCCCUCUAUUAGCCCGGUUGAACCUAGAGCUCAAAAUCUAUCACUCUCACGCUCUGCCGGAGUCACUCCGCGUGAUCUGUUCGGCCUUCUGCACACAAGUUACGCUCUAGUGCUUUCUCAUCAAUCAUCUGUGCACAUAAUCUAAGGUCACCCACCAGUCGGAAUCUCACUAACACUCUCGCGACUGGCCUGUCGUACCCACUCCGCGUGGACUGUACGACUAGCAUCUACUUGGAUCCAAGACGAGCGUGCGAUGCGGUGAAUACUAUAAGCACUAAACCAUGGUGCAGGAUUUGAGCUCAAUAUACAUUAACAUCAUCAUAUCAGUAUUUAAAUACUCACCUGAUACUCACUUGUGCGUCCGCCGCACCAUUCAUUCAUAUGCAUCAUAUCUCAAUUUCAUACUUUUCAUAUCAUUUCAUGCAUGGCAAUUCGAUUCACAUUUCUAUAUACUUUUCAUAUACUUUUAUGCAUGGCAUCUCAAUUCACAUUUCAAUAUACUUUUCAUAUAAUUUUAUACAUUGCAUUUAAAGCAUACUUUCCUUCAAUUUCAAUUUCUGGGAAAACGUCAAGUAUAUAUAUAUACGGAAAACAAAACUGCCCACUCACCUGGAGUUCGCCCUACAACUCCCUAGCACAAUACGCCAAGGCGUCAUGACGAUCGGCGCCUAAAACAAUAAUCAAUUCCAACCUCAGAAUUCAUAUCGAUAGAAUAUAUAACUUAUAUAAAAUACGUCACUACGUAGUUCAAUCCGGAAGAUCCACCACUCAGAUUUUAAAUCCAUAACUUCCAGAGGUCCACAAUAUAUCUCUAGGAUAACAUCCUAAAAUUUCAUUACCAUCCAACGGUCGGAUCAUCAAUUCACAUUUUCACCUAAUGCGAAAACUAUAAAACGUUAUUCGAACACCUAACCAACAAUCCUUAAUAACUUUCUCAUACGGUGCUCAACUUGGGUAUAUGAAUAUACCACAGUGAUCUACUCGACGUCACGGACGUCGACAUAUUUUUAAAAUAAUUUUUUACUGUAGCACGCGCCCCCACGCGCCAAGGAAGGCACGGGUCCACGCGCGCCCACGCGCACCUUCUUCCUCGCGGGUUCGCCGGACUGGUUUUUCCGGUGGCCGGAAAACUGGGGAAUUUUCAAAUGCUUCGUUCUCCUUCGUUUCUCAACCAUUUUCUUCGUAUAAUAUAUCAAUUUAAAGCCCUCAACAUGUAGAAUCACAAUAUACUACUUUUAAGCUUCAAAAACAACUAAAUCUCACCGGAAAAAUCCAAGCAAAACCGGCCCAAACUUAACCCUCGUGAUCCCGACGUCCAAAUCCUUCCAACGAAGCACUCCGAGCUUCCUUGGGACCUCACUAAGCUCACUAUGAGCUUGGAUUGUCCUAAAAAUCAACCAAUUCAAAGCUCUCAUGAACAGUACACAUUCACGGCAACUUUAGAAACUAGGGUUUUCGAAGUGAAACUUACCUUAAACUGGUACCUACGUGAUCGUGGAGUCCUCAGGAGUGCAUUGGUGGUUUUAAAUCCGGCGUUGGUAAUAGUUUUAGGUGGUUUUGAUGGUUGCCCGUGUGUUCGAGAGGGUGAGAGAGAGAGAGUGAGGUCUGAGGAAGAGAGAGAGAGUAUGAAGGACAGUAUACGGGAAAUGGGGAGGGAAAUAAGGAAUGGGGAUCCCACGUGGUCCUUUUCCAAUCCCCAACUCUAAACCACAAAAUUUUAACCUAAAAAUCUAAGUUCCAUCCUUAUUAAAUUCCAUUUUAUUUUCAAAACUUAGGAACCUAGAUAAUUAUCAACUUGAGCUUCACAUACUUAGUAUUUCUUAAGGGCAAUUUCGUCCAUUCACAGCCACGAAUGUAAUAUUUUGGAACGGGCUGUGACAAUCUCCCCUCCUUAUAGAAUUUCGUCCCCGAAAUUCCAGCAACCAACUAAAUCAACCAUACUCCAACAAUAGCUUCGGGUAAAUCUCUCUCAUCCGAUUCUCUUUCUCCCACAUAAUUUUCUACUGAAUGAUUUCCUUCACAAAGCUUUUACCACUUACUCUGUCUUAAUUCUCAGGACCUUCUUUUUUCCAAUCCAAAGUCGUCCUUGGUUCCUUAUCAAGUCGAAUCCAAUUUAAUUCUCAAUAGUUGCACUAGAAUCUCAUGUGACGACUCUGCCACCUAGCGACAACGCAUCGAACACAAAAUACAUUAAGUACCGUUGCCCUGUCUGGGAAAAAGUUAUUACUCAGCACUGGAGUAAUUGUACUAACUUGGUACAUUGACCAACUAUCACUUCAAAUUCGAUCAUAACCAUCUUGUGUACAAGGAAGCUUGUACACAUAAUCCAAAGUAAUAUCUUUCCAUUUCCACUGCGAAACAGAAAAUAAUUAUCUCAAUCCAAAGGUUUAUCUCUUUCUGCCUCAAUCUGCUGACCAAAUAAAACUGUCAAAUGGUAUGAUAAAUCUUAUUACUUUUGGAAUAUUUCAGAAGUUGAACAGUGAACUUCGUCCAAUAUUUGCUUGCUUCAAAUCCUCAGCAUUCGGUACAUACUUCUUACUUUCUUGUAUCCACAUACCAUUUGAUUCACGAAUCAUUCUUUUUCUUUUCUUUCCUUGCCUUGGUUAAUUCUUAAAUUCCUCGUCAAACAUUUAAGUUUCGAGUACGACCUUACCAAACAGGCCUAACUUGAAAAUUAACAAGUAUAACUUCUUCUCGAUCUUUCAUUCUUAACUUUACUUUAAUUGAUUUUCAAUCCACGAGAAGAUAAUCUUGGCAAGCGUGCCUGACAUUAAUCUUACUGUAGUCUUCUCACCAAGUGCUUCAGCUAGAACAAUUCUACGAUCACCCUGAUCGUACAAUCAUGUUCAUUAAGCAAUACAAUUCACUUUCGCUGCCUCAUAUCAAAAUCCUUCCAAGUAAUGGAUAUUGAAGACUUUUGGAUUCGUAAAAUCUUGCAUUCUUAUCAACAUUUAAGGUCUCCAUAACUUCACAACAAGGAUGGUAAUCGCCAAUCUUAAAUCACAAGUAGGGUACUUCAUCUCAUGAGAUUCCAUUUGUCAUGAAACAUAUGCCAUCACCCUAACAUUUGUAUCAACAUGCCUCCAAUACCAUUCAAGAAACAUCACUAAAAAUUUAUGAUUACCACUAUCUUCUAGGAUUACUAAAAUACGUGUAUGAGUGAGGAAAUACUUUAGUUGUUGAAUCCCUUACUCACAAUUUCCUUCCCACUUAUACAUAACUCUUUUUCUCAACAGUCUCGUCAAUGACAAAGCAAUGACUGAAAAAUCUUUCACAACCAUCCAAGAUAGCCUGGUAAGUUAAGAAAUUCCAAAUCUCAAUUACGACUCGUGGUUGUUCCAAAUUCUCAAUUUCUGCUAUCUUUUAAGGAUUCACUUGAAUACCUUAAGAAUAUAUAACAAUUCUCAAAAUGCCACUUGAUUCAUUUAACUUUAGCCUUUGCUAAACUUAGCAUACAACCAACGUUCUCUCAAUCUUUGCUUCAUCGACUUAAUACAUUUACAUGCUCUGCUCUGGCUUAGAGUAUACCAGAAUAUCGUCAAUGACAAAUGAUAUCAAUCUAUCAAGGCAUUAUUGGAAUACUUCAUCCAUCAACUCAUAAAACAGCAUGAGUAUCCAUAUAGCAUCACCAAACUUCAUAAAGACUAUAACAAGUCCAGAAAACCAUCUUAUGAUCAACGUCACUUAAAAUAUUCAAUUGGUAGUAACCAGAUCUCAAUUCAAUCUUUGAAUCUUCGCAAUUUACUUCUGAGCUGGUUAAAUAAACAUCAGUACAUCACCAUGGAUAACGGUUCUCAAUCGUUACCCGACUCCAUUGUCUAUAAUCAAUGGAUAGCCUUAAAAAUCCAUUUUCUUCCUCACCAACGAACUGGGGUUCCCCCAAAGCGUUGUACUAGGUUGAAUAAAACUUUUAUCAACCAAUUCUUUCAACUGAAUUUCCAAUUCCCUUAACUCAUCCUGAACCAAUCUCCAAUAUAAAUUUAUAUCUAGCAACAAUUCAAUAGCGAACCUCAUAUCUCUGCCUGAAGGCAAUCCAGGUAUACUUUCAAGGAAGACAUCAAGAAAAGUCUAACCCCUUUUUCAUUUUUUCACACUUCUCCGAGCAACAUCCUUUAGUACCACAUGAACUAAGUAUUUUUGGGCAGCCUUUCAAAACAAUCUCUUUGCUUUCACAGCAUAAAUAAUGGCUGAACUCACUUCACUUUGCAUGCCCACUCAUUAAGGUAACCUCUGAUCAUCCAGAUCGAUGGAAAGUGACUGGUUUCCCAUAACAUUCCAUCUAGUCACAACUAUAAACAAUCAAUCUAAUGGAAUAAAAUUAACUGACCCAAUACAUACUUAUUAUUACUGAACAUUCUAAAUAAGUACAACACUAACAUAAAAUAACCUACCGGUUUGCUUGCUUAACGAAUCCACAAAUGAGUUAUUAAUAUUACGGUCUGCAGCCCGCAAUACUGAUAAAUCAUCGUUGUCUCGAUAAGUAGGCAACCACUCUCAAAGAUAUAACAUACAUAAUAAGAAAUAUAUCAGCCGAAGUCAACUAGAAUGAUCAAUACGGCAGAUUCAACUCUUAUCUCAAUAAUACGUCGGCCGGAUCCACUCCGCGUGGUCGGUACGGCCGAACCUAUAACUCACCAAUUUCUCAUGUGUCAGUCGAAUCCAUUUCUCAUGGUCUGUACGGCUGAACAUAUAACUCAUCAAAUCUCUCUGUACUCACGGUCAAUCCGACCAACUACUAAGUUCAUAAACUUGCUUAAUCGACACUACGAUGUCAUAGAAAACUGUUGGGUACAACUGAUUCUAGGGACGAUUCACAAUUCUGUGUCCCCUCUGUUCACAUAAACACAUUCAUUAAUUUCACACUUCCCAAAGUGUUAAUUUUGUACCUGCUGCACAAAGUACAUUUCCUUUACUCGAGACACCUUGUCUCAAAUAUCUGGGAUUACCAGUAUAUCCAUCACUUUUACUCUGACCAGCGACAUUAAAACCUCAGCUGGAAGAAUUAACUCUAGCUUCACUUCUUUCGAAGCUCUGAAUCUUUCUAUAUCCUUGAUAAGACGAAUCAUUAACUUUAUCGUCUUCUUUUAAUUCCCAUUCAUUUCUUAUUCUUCUUUAUUCUCGUUGAUCAUGUUCUCAGAGUCCUCAAGACUCAAUAGCAUCUCGUAUAUUCCUGGUAAGAAGUAUAAUGGAUAGUGGUCACCCAAAAUACCACUUCCCUUUUUGCCACCCAGCUUAAAACAACAUAACACCUCCACCAAAUUAACAACCAUAUCUGGAUGGAACGAGGCAAGUCUGAAAACUUUCUAUAAUAUCCCUCGAUCAUCACCUUCCUUGUCUCAUAUUUGUAAACUCUUGUUUACUACCAUCGAUAAAUGUCGGAGGGAUAAACUUUUCCUUAAACAAGUCCUUAAACAAUUUUAAAUCGGCUGUUCCUCCGGUGACAACACAUCAUACUCCUGUUUCCACCGGAUACAAAUUCAUACCCAAAACCAGGUAGUCGUCUCGACCCCCUGUCAGAAGGAAAUUUCCUUUGACUUGCAUAAUCUGAAACAUCUUUUCCAAAUGGUUAAACCGUUACUUCGCUCUCUCAGGUUCAUCAUUUCAUAAGGUGAUUCAAGUUCAACUCAUUACCCAUCUUAAAAUGUCCCUUUAGACAAUAGACUGAAACACCAUAGUAAUAGUUUCCCCCCUAAACCGCUAAAUCAGGGAGACUAAGUUCCUCUAACUACGUGGCUUGCUACGAGGCGGUGUAGUUCUGACAGAAUUCACUAGAACUUCUCAAGAUGUCCAAGAUUGCAACCAUACUCUGAUACCAACUGACACACCCCGUCCCGAAGGAGGGCAUGCUGGCCGUCACGUGAGAGUGACGUAACCAUUUGCACAGUACGGAAGCUUUAAGAUACAAUUUAUAAGUUGAUACACCCGAAGGUGAGUCCUAAUUUUGUCCAAUCUGUCAGAACACCGUCAAAUUCCUCGUAGUCACCACACCUUUGUGAUUCCUGAACCUGGAGGGGCGCAAAACCAAAAUUGAGUGGGUCAGUAAAACCAUUCUUUUCCAAAUCCAAACAUUUCUCAAAACGUUGUAACCCCUCUCCGUAAAACCCGUAUACUUUCCCAGAAAUGUAAAAUAUAAAUAUACAUAUAUAUUCUCAAGACUUCAAGUCAUUAACUCAACAUUUUCAUCAUAAUUAUGCCAUGCCAAAUCAUCUCAACAUUUCUCAUAUUAAUUAUGCCAUGCCACAUCAUCUCAACAGUAAUAAGGUAUGAAUGCAUCAACAUAAAUCAUAUCAGGUGCAAUAAAGUAAUCAACCGGAGGCCCUCUAUUAGCCCGGUUGAACCUAGAGCUCAAAAUCUAUCACUCUCACACUCUGCCGGAGUCACUCCGCGUGACCUGUUCGGCCUUCUGCACACAAGUUACGCUCUAGUGCUUUCUCAUCAAUCAUCUGUGCACAUAAUCUAAGGUCACCCACCAGUCGGAAUCUCACUAACACUCUCGCGACUGGCCUGUCGUACCCACUCCGCGUGGACUGUACGACUAGCAUCUACUUGGAUCCAAGACGAGCGUGCGAUGCGGUGAAUACUAUAAGCACUAAACCAUGGUGCAGGAUUUGAGCUCAAUAUACAUUAACAUCAUCAUAUCAGUAUUUAAAUACUCACCUGAUACUCACCUGUGCGUCCGCCGCACCAUUCAUUCAUAUGCAUCAUAUCUCAAUUUCAUACUUUUCAUAUCAUUUCAUGCAUGGCAAUUCGAUUCACAUUUCUAUAUACUUUUCAUAUACUUUUAUGCAUGGCAUCUCAAUUCACAUUUCAAUAUACUUUUCAUAUAAUUUUUAUACAUUGCAUUUAAAGCAUACUUUCCUUCAAUUUCAAUUUCUGGGAAAACGUCAAGUAUAUAUAUAUACGGAAAACAAAACUGCCCACUCACCUGGAGUUCGCCCUACAACUCCCUAGCACAAUACGCCAAGGCGUCAUGACGAUCGGCGCCUAAAACAAUAAUCAAUUCCAACCUCAGAAUUCAUAUCGAUAGAAUAUAUAACUUAUAUAAAAUACGUCACUACGUAGUUCAAUCCGGAAGAUCCACCACUCAGAUUUUAAAUCCAUAACUUCCAGAGGUCCACAAUAUAUCUCUAGGAUAACAUCCUAAAAUUUCAUUACCAUCCAACGGUCGGAUCAUCAAUUCACAUUUUCACCUAAUGCGAAAACUAUAAAACGUUAUUCGAACACCUAACCAACAAUCCUUAAUAACUUUCUCAUACGGUGCUCAACUUGGGUAUAUGAAUAUACCACAGUGAUCUACUCGACGUCACGGACGUCGACAUAUUUUUAAAAUAAUUUUUUACUGUAGCACGCGCCCCCACGCGCCAAGGAAGGCACGGGUCCACGCGCGCCCACGCGCACCUUCUUCCUCGCGGGUUCGCCGGACUGGUUUUUCCGGUGGCCGGAAAACUGGGGAAUUUUCAAAUGCUUCGUUCUCCUUCGUUUCUCAACCAUUUUCUUCGUAUAAUAUAUCAAUUUAAAGCCCUCAACAUGUAGAAUCACAAUAUACUACUUUUAAGCUUCAAAAACAACUAAAUCUCACCGGAAAAAUCCAAGCAAAACCGGCCAAACUUAACCCUCGUGAUCCCGACGUCCAAAUCCUUCCAACGAAGCACUCCGAGCUUCCUUGGGACCUCACUAAGCUCACUAUGAGCUUGGAUUGUCCUAAAAAUCAACCAAUUCAAAGCUCAUGAACAGUACACAUUCACGGCAACUUUAGAAACUAGGGUUUUCGAAGUGAAACUUACCUUAAACUGGUACCUACGUGAUCGUGGAGUCCUCAGGAGUGCAAUGGUGGUUUUAAAUCCGGCGUUGGUAAUAGUUUUAGGUGGUUUUGAUGGUUGCCCGUGUGUUCGAGAGGGUGAGAGAGAGAGAGUGAGGUCUGAGGAAGAGAGAGAGAGUAUGAAGGACAGUAUACGGGAAAUAGGGAGGGAAAUAAGGA